AUGAAAACGAAGGCAUGUUGGGUACCCAAACCAGAGAACAGCUGUGAUGGCGUGUGGCCAUCUCAACGCCGCUGGGCUUUUAAUCCUACCUCCGGCCUCUGUGAGGACUUCCUCUACUGCACUGGAAACAGCAGCAACAACUUCCCUUCCUUUAAUGCCUGUAGGGACCAGUGCAUGUUGGGUGCAUGCUGCCUCCGCAAACCAAGGCAGGGUCUCUCCCCUGGCCACCAGCAUUACUCUCAACAUGGAUACAACAUCUCCACUGAGAACAGGACUCUCUGGGGAUAUGACCAGCAGAAGGUGGAGGAUGAAAUAUGGUACAGCAAUAUAGACUUCAACCAUACUGAGCUGGAAGAUCUGAAAGGAAACCUUACAAAGGCAGACUGCCGCAAGAAUCCAGAUUUCACUUUUACAUGUGAUUACCUCACUCUAAUACAGUGUCAGACUUUGGUGAAGGACCAAGUUGGAGAGGCACAAGUAAUGAGCUUCUCUCCCGGAUCGAAGUGCUCUGAUGUGAGAUGUGGUGGAAGUUGUGGAUGCUUCUCUCAACGCAAGCUCUGGAGAUAUGGGGAAAAGUUCAGGCAAGGCUGUGAAGAGUGCAUAUGCACACAUAGUGGCAGAAUUGACUGUGUGUGCAGACAUAUGACCCAGCGUAAAGAGAUUAGAGACCUCACGCUGAAAGAGAGGAGGUUGUACCAACGGGCUAUCAGGAAACUCUACGCUAGGCCAGCUGUGUGGAAGGGUUUUGCAUUACUGAGAGCUGAGUUCUCCCCUCUGGCUGGUCAUUAUGCCUUCUUCCUCCCAUGGCACCGCUACUUCCUGCGAUUAGUGGAGCGUGACCUACAGUCAAUGUCAUCAUGCAAACUGGCACUUCCAUAUUUUGAGUGGACAGUGGACUCUGGGUCUAUGAAGUCCUCAGCUGCCUGGCAGGCUGGAUUGUUUGGAGGAGACGGUGAGCCUGCCUCUGGCUGCGUCCCCCAUCACCCUUUCCAGGGCUUGACAUCCCGUUUCCACUGGUCCCCUUGUCUCAGACGGAACUUCAACUCCUCGGUGUGGCUGCCAGAUGCAGUGACCCUGCAGAGGACUGUAAACCAGGCAGACUUCCAAGUGUUCUCGCAGUCCCUGCAGACAUUUUCUGGCCUCUUUAGGCUUCGGGUAGGGGGUCACAUGGCUUCGCCUCUAGCCUCUUACGACCCUUUAUACCUGUCACACAUGGCAUUCAUGGACAAGCUGUGGGCACAGUGGCAAGAGAAACAUCAGCAUGGAUCUAAAAGACAAACUCAUAGAGAAAAUUAUGCUCACAGCAACAUCCUUUAUCCUGCUAAACAAAGGCAUGUUAAGAUGAAGCCUUUUGAUGUUACCCCUGAUGAUGUGAUUUCUUCUCAUCAGCAGAUGUGUGUUGUAUAUGUGCCCAUAACCAUUGGUGCACCUUGUAAUAUUACCUCAUUACAUACACACCCACAAGAAAGUUGGAAAUAUCAAAAGCGUAGCUUUGACAACAAUAGUUCAGGUGUUGGGAUUAUUGGUUUCAACCAACAUGGAUAUGAUCGUGAUGGCUAUGACCGGAGUGGUUGGGACAGGUGGGGCUAUGGCAAAGAUGGCUUUAACCACGACUUCAUUGAUAAGGAUGGAUAUGACAUAUCUGGUUUUAACCGCUACGGGUUCAACCGUUCUAAUGUGACCUGGUUUGGCUUGUAUAAAGAUGGGAUGUUUGAGAAUGAGAAAAAGAAUGAGCAUGACGCGACAGAUGAAAAGGAAGAGAGUAAAAAUAAGACACACAGAGACAAGAUAUUGUCAAAUCUCUUCAGUGACAAAGGCUACAAUAUCUAUGGAUUUGAUCCAUUUGGUUUGGAUCGUGGUGGGUUUGAUGCAUUUGGCUUUCGAACAGAUGGUUACGACAAGGACAGGUGCAACUGGUUCUUCAGUGGACCUCACUACCUGCGGUUCUUCUUCUACACGCAGCAACAGUUGAUGUCAUCCAGUGACCAAGCUUUAAACCGCAUCACCCGUACCUGCCCUCCAAUAACGCCCCUGCCCCAGCACUGGGCCAGGCAGGAUUGGAUGACUUUUGAUCCAGACAAAAGCAGUGCUCUGAAAGUUCAACAAGAGCAUGAAUGGAAGGGACAGAUUAAGCCAGAAAGUGAAGAUACUGUUAUGGGAGCUAAUCAAAAUACAAGCAACAUAUGGCUUCCAAUCACACCAGAUCACAGGUACCAGCAUUACAAAAAGAAAGUGGUAAUAGCCUCGCUAAGCCAGCCCACAGUUUGUUGUUUGAUGCUUAUUUUGGUCUGA
rnacentral:lncRNA from 1 species